CCGUCUACCUGAAACUCGCACGGCAUAUCUUCGAACGGCGCCGCCCUCUUCGUACUUUUAGUGCGUGAGAGUUUCAAGGCGGAUCAAACGUCGUUCGGGGUGUUGCGAGGAGUCGUCGAGUCUUCGUAUCCUUCGGGGUGCGUCGUACUUCCGGCGGCUUCAGGCGAUAGACCGGUAGCGACCUGCAUUUUUCCUCCGACAUAGUGCGUCGCGAUCCGUUGUUCGGCGAUCAAUGGGCCCGGCGUGUCUCCCGCACGACUCUGUCUGCGGAGCCGUCGGUGGGCCGUUUACCGCGGGCAGCCUUAACAAGCGCCCCGGCCGGCCGUCCCUUUCAAACCCGAAAGCCGAGUAAGUCCCGAAGUGUGUAUUUCGGGCCGACACGACGGUCACGUAAACACGCGGUGAAAGUGUCUGGAAUUUUUUAAAUUCCAGAUACUGUCCGGACUCCCGACGCUUGGCGGCGGAGGACGCGCGUUCGGCGGAUCAACGGGGGCGGUCGAGGCGUUUCGCGCGUCUCGUCGUCUCUACCGCCGCGCCGCGUCUCUCCCGGACUCGCGCGGAGUGCCGCGACAGUGGGGCUCGAGUUCGAGCCUAGCUCGCUCGCCCUCCAUCGUAAUCUGCGACGUAAGUCUUACAUUACCUUCCGACCCGUCUUGAAACACGGACCAAGGAGUCUAACACGUACGCGAGUCAAGGGGCUCGACAAAACCCUAAUGGCAUAAUGAAAGUGAAAAGGGGCUCGGAGAGAAGAUGAGAAUUUUUUAAAUUUUUAUUUUUCUCUCCAGACCCGGAGGGAGGAUGGUCGGGGAAAGCAUUGACCCCGACCCGCACUCCCGGGGCGUGGUUCGCCACGCACCGAGAGCGUACACGUUGGUACCCGAAAGAUGGUGAACUAUGCAUGGCCAGGAUGAAGCCAGGGGAAACCCUGGUGGAGGUCCGUAGCGAUUCUGACGUGCAAAUCGAUCGUCUGAGCUGUGUAUAGGGGCGAAAGACCAAUCGAACCAUCUAGUAGCUGGUUCCCUCCGAAGUUUCCCUCAGGAUAGCUGGCACUCGGAAACUGGAAAUAAUAUUGAAUAUAAAGAGUCUCAUGCGGUAAAGCGAAUGAUUAGAGGUCUUAGGGCCGAAACGACCUUAACCUAUUCUCAAACUUUAAAUGUGUGAGAUCUCCGGCAUCCUUAAGACUGGCUUUUUUUCAAAUGGUGAUGCCGGAGAUUGGAUCUGAGAUGUCUAGUGGGCCAUUUUUGGUAAGCAGAACUGGCGCUGUGGGAUGAACCAAACGUCGAGUUAAGGCGCCUAAAUCGAAGCUUAUGGGAAACCAUGAAGGGCGUUGUUUGCUUAAGACAGCAGGUUCGUGGACAUGGAAGUUGUAAUCGACUAAGGAGUGUGUAACAACUCACCUGCCGAAGCAACUAGCCCUGAAAAUGGAUGGCGCUGAAGCUUCGUGCCUAUACUCGACCGCCGGUCGGCAAGGUGAAAGGAAACUCUUUUCUAUAAGAAGAGAGGAGAGGCGAUGCUGAAAUUUAUUUUCUUUGUCGUCUUCUCUUUCAAUUCCUAUGAAGCUCCGGUGAGUAGGAGGGCGCGACGGUGUGCGCAGAAGGGUUGGCCGCGAGGCCGCCUGGAGCCAUCGUCGGCGCAGAUCUUGGUAGUAGUAGCAAAUACUCUUGCGAGACCCAGGAGGACUGAUGCGGAGAAGGGUUUCGUGUGAACAGCCGUUGCACACGAGUCAGUCGAUCCUAAGCCCUAAGAGAAGUCUGAAGUCGAUGAGGGCAGUUGUCAAAGAAUUAUGAUUAUAUAUUUUUUUUUAUGUGUUGCAUAUAUAUAAUCUAAUAUGAAAUAAAAAAUUGGCAGCCCCGUCCAGGGYGAAAGGGAAUCCGGUUCYUAUUCCGGAACCCGGUAGCGGAACCGAUCCAUGUCGGGCCACCCGUCCUUCGCGGCGGGACGCUCGUCGGGGUAACCCAAACUGGCCCGGAAAAGCUGUGGGGAGGUCGGGGAAGAGUUUUCUUUUCUGUUUGAGCGUUCAGGUUCCCUGGAAUUCUU
rnacentral:rRNA from 1 species